rnacentral:rRNA from 1 species
GUAGGUGGCAAGCGUUGUCCGGGAAUUAUUGGGGCGUAAAGCGCGCGCAGGCGGCUCUUUAAGGUCUGAUGUGAAAGCCCACGGGCUCAACCGUGGAGGGUCAUUGGAAACUGGAGAACUUGAGUACAGAAGAGGAAAGCGGAAUUCCACGUGUAGCGGUGAAAUGCGUAGAGAUGUGGAGGAACACCAGUGGCGAAGGCGGCUUUCUGGUCUGUAACUGACGCUGAGGCGCGAAAGCGUGGGGAGCAAACAGGAUUAGAUACCCUGGUAGUCCACGCCGUAAACGAUGAGUGCUAAGUGUUAGGGGGUUUCCGCCCCUUAGUGCUGCAGCUAACGCAUUAAGCACUCCGCCUGGGGAGUACGGCCGCAAAGGCUG